rnacentral:rRNA from 1 species
AGAGUUUGAUCCUGGCUCAGAUUGAACGCUGGCGGAAUGCUUUACACAUGCAAGUCGAACGGCAGCACGGGUGCUUGCACCUGGUGGCGAGUGGCGAACGGGUGAGUAAUACAUCGGAACGUACCUUAUCGUGGGGGAUAACGCAGCGAAAGCUGUGCUAAUACCGCAUACGCCCUGAGGGGGAAAGCGGGGGAUCGCAAGACCUCGCGCGAUUAGAGCGGCCGAUGCCUGAUUAGCUAGUUGGUGGGGUAAAAGCCCACCAAGGCGACGAUCAGUAGCUGGUCUGAGAGGACGAUCAGCCACACUGGGACUGAGACACGGCCCAGACUCCUACGGGAGGCAGCAGUGGGGAAUUUUGGACAAUGGGGGCAACCCUGAUCCAGCAAUGCCGCGUGAGUGAAGAAGGCCUUCGGGUUGUAAAGCUCUUUUGUCAGGGAAGAAACACCGGCUCUAACACAGUCCGGGAAUGACGGUACCUGAAGAAUAAGCACCGGCUAACUACGUGCCAGCAGCCGCGGUAAU